CAUACUUGGGCUUCCUGUGGAUGCUACUGCUCAUGGCCUACGGGCAGAGGGACCCCAGCGCCUACCACCUCAACAGACACCUUGAGCACAGCUUCACCAGGGGCUUUUCAGGUGUGCUGGGCUUCCGAGAGUUCUUUGAGUGGGCCAACACCACCCUCGUGAGCAACCUGUAUGGUCACCCCCCAGCAGCUGCAGGCGUCUCUCAACGGAUGCCGUGCACCAUAUUCCCUGGAUGCUGAAGACCUAGCAGACUAUGGGGAAGGCUGGAAUGCCACUGCCCUCAGUAAUGGCAGUAGCUUUCCCCAGGCUUGGCAGUACCAGAGCCAGGACAAACGUCGAGGGUAUCCCAUCUGGGGCAAACUCACUGUGUACCGGGGAGGAGGCUACGUGGUCCCCUUGGGGACUGAUUGCCAAAGCGCGUCAAGAAUUCUCCGUUAUCUCUUUGACAACACCUGGCUGGACGCCCUGACCAGAGCUGUGUUUGUGGAGUUCACUGUCUACAACGCCAACGUCAACCUGUUCUGCAUUGUCACGCUGACGCUAGAGACCAGCGCCCUGGGUGGGCAGCCUCGCCUGGGAACCCUCUGCAGGGCUUCAGAAGACAGAUACUCCUUCCCCUGGGCUGGGGCUCCUGACCUACCUGGGUGCAGCCACCCCAGGACCAGAGCUCCAGAGCAAAUAGUUAUUUAGUGAAUCUAGGUGUGGGUGUUGGUUAUCCCUGCAGCCAUGAGUCCCUGGGCCCCCGAAGGCAAAGCAUUAGGGCCCCCCACCUGAAUUCUCCCCAUCUUUCUGGCCUAGUUGCCCAAGUUAUCAUAAAACAGCCUAUUCAGAGUCCAAAGGCAGCUUAUCCAUUGCCUAAUCCCAAGCUUCCCUGUCUGCUGGGGUUGGGGGUGCUGAGCUGGCAGUGACAGCAAGGGAGAAUGUGACGUAACAGAUCAUCUCACCUAAUAUAAUAUUUCACCAUACAUCAGUGCACAGCACAAAGUACGUUUUACAUCAUAAUCCAGCACACAUGCAACCAAGAUGAAAUGUUCACAAAUAACAUGUACUUUAACUCCAUGAGGCCGGGCAUGGUGCCUCGCGCCCAUGAUCCCAGCACUUUGGGAAGUCAAGGUGGGAGAACUCCUUGAGCCCAGGAGUCCAAGACCAGCCUGGGCAACAUGGUGAGACCUGGUCUCUACAAAAUUUAAAAAACAAAAAA
rnacentral:sRNA from 1 species